GGAGUAAAAGUCGUAACAAGGUUUCCGUAGGUGAACCUGCGGAAGGAUCAUUCAUAAUAAGUGUUUUAUGGCACUUUUUUAAAUCCAUAUCCACCUUGUGUGCAAUGUCAGGGUUGAUUUUUCUCUCGAGAGGAUCAACCCCAAACAUCAACUAUAUCUCAACUCUUUGUCUGAAAAAUAUUAUGAAUAAAACAAUUCAAAAUACAACUUUCAACAACGGAUCUCUUGGCUCUC
rnacentral:misc_RNA from 1 species